CAUUUUUCACACAACUCCAGGUUGUUACUACAAGUGUCAUCAAGGGAUAACUACAAGUAGAAGCACCAUUUUUGGAUGGAAAAAACCCUUCAGGAAAGUAUACGUAUCACAUGUAACAUGUAGUGUAACAAAGUAUGAACAGUAAGGUUUUUACAUACAGUAGUACAUAUUACAUACGUACAUAACUUUUUUUUUACAGGAAUUUCCAACCAAGUUUGAUUAUGUACAUAUGUACAUGUUAUAAACCACUGUACGUAUGGUUACUGUAUGUAAACUUACUAAACAUACAUAACAUGACUUAACUUUGAUACUUUUUUGGUACAUUCCAGAAAACCAGGACCCCCUCCAUGAUGCAGGCUAUGGGGCCACAUAAAACUUUGUCCAGGGUUACUACAUAACAUAGCACGACAACUGUAAACUAUGUACUACUGUACUAAAGAACCCCCUGAAUGAUGUAGGCUAUGGGGCCACAUAAGACUUUGUGCAUCCAGGGUUACGUUGAACGACAAAUUUAAACUAAAAAGCUACCAGACUGGGAUUUUAGUGUACUCCAGGAUCUAACAAAUACUACUACGAAGUGUACAGUGCAUAAUAUAGUGUUUAGUGUAUAAUCUAACCUAAGGAUUAAGUGUAGUACAUUGUGCUUUAUAGUGUCACAAGAGUUUAAUAAAGAAUUAUACCUUCAA